ACGCACGCUGGCGGCGUGCUUAACACCUGCCAGUCGCACGGAAAGGCCCUGCUUUUGUGGGGUGCUCGAGUGGCGAACGGGUGAGUAACACGUGAGUAACCUGCCCUUGACUUUGGGAUAACUUCAGGAGACUGGGGCUAAUACCGGAUAGGAGCUCCUGCUGCAUGGUGGGGGUUGGAAAGUUUCGGCGGUUGGGGAUGGACUCGCGGCUUAUCAGCUUGUUGGUGGGGUAGUGGCUUACCAAGGCUUUGACGGGUAGCCGGCCUGAGAGGGUGACCGGCCACAUUGGGACUGAGAUACGGCCCAGACUCCUACGGGAGGCAGCAGUGGGGAAUAUUGCACAAUGGGCGGAAGCCUGAUGCAGCAACGCCGCGUGCGGGAUGACGGCCUUCGGGUUGUAAACCGCUUUCGCCUGUGACGAAGCGUGAGUGACGGUAAUGGGUAAAGAAGCACCGGCUAACUACGUG
rnacentral:rRNA from 1 species